rnacentral:tRNA from 1 species
GCUAUAGAAGCCGAAACAUUAGGCGUUGGUCUUGUAAGCCAAAAGAUGAAUUUUUUUCCUAUAGUU